rnacentral:rRNA from 1 species
GAUGAACGCUAGCGGCAGGCUUAAUACAUGCAAGUCGAGGGGCAGCGGGGGUAGCAAUACCUGCCGGCGACCGGCAAACGGGUGCGGAACACGUACACAACCUUCCUUUAAGUGGGGGAUAGCCCAGAGAAAUUUGGAUUAAUACCCCGUAAUAUUAUCAGCUGGCAUCAUUUGGUAAUUAAAGCUGAGGCGCUUAGAGAUGGGUGUGCGUCUGAUUAGGUAGUUGGUGCGGGAACGGCCCACCAAGCCUUCGAUCAGUAACUGGUGUGAGAGCACGACCAGUCACACGGGCACUGAGACACGGGCCCGACUCCUACGGGAGGCAGCAGUAAGGAAUAUUGCGCAAUGGGCGAAAGCCUGACGCAGCGACGCCGCGUGGGGAUGAAGGUC